rnacentral:rRNA from 1 species
CCUACGGGGGGCAGCAGUGGGGAAUAUUGCACAAUGGGCGCAAGCCUGAUGCAGCCAUGCCGCGUGUGUGAAGAAGGCCUUCGGGUUGUAAAGCACUUUCAGCGGGGAGGAAGGCGGUGAGGUUAAUAACCUCAUCGAUUGACGUUACCCGCAGAAGAAGCACCGGCUAACUCCGUGCCAGCAGCCGCGGUAAUACGGAGGGUGCAAGCGUUAAUCGGAAUUACUGGGCGUAAAGCGCACGCAGGCGGUCCGUCAAGUCGGAUGUGAAAUCCCCGGGCUCAACCUGGGAACUGCAUUCGAAACUGGCAGGCUAGAGUCUUGUAGAGGGGGGUAGAAUUCCAGGUGUAGCGGUGAAAUGCGUAGAGAUCUGGAGGAAUACCGGUGGCGAAGGCGGCCCCCUGGACAAAGACUGACGCUCAGGUGCGAAAGCGUGGGGAGCAAACAGGAUUAGAUACCCUAGUAGUC